rnacentral:rRNA from 1 species
UGGCGACCGGCGCACGGGUGAGUAACACGUAUCCAACCUGCCGAUGACUCGGGGAUAGCCUUUCGAAAGAAAGAUUAAUACCCGAUGGCAUAGUUCUUCCGCAUGGUAGAACUAUUAAAGAAUUUCGGUCAUCGAUGGGGAUGCGUUCCAUUAGGUUGUUGGCGGGGUAACGGCCCACCAAGCCUUCGAUGGAUAGGGGUUCUGAGAGGAAGGUCCCCCCACAUUGGAACUGAGACACGGUCCAAACUCCUACGGGAGGCAGCAU